ACUUUUGGUCCUAUCUGUUACCACCGUUAACGGAGUUGCCAGCAAGGCUAACGGACCCUCUAGCUGACCGUUAAGUGCUGACGUGGCACAAUAGCCCGACUCCACCCGUGCGGGCGGCCCGAAUUCUAAAAGACCCGGCUUCAAUUUCAACCCGGCUUCAGCUUCAAUUGCUACCUGAGUAAAAUCCCCAAAUUUUCAAAAUCGCAACCCUAAUCGAGCUGAAAUCGAGCUCUUCCUUCCUCCCUCCUGAAAUCGACUUGUUCCCUUUCCUACCUCCCUCUUGAAAUCGAGCAUCCUGAAAUCGAUUCGUUCUCCGAGCAGCUCGUCCCUUUCCUCCGUCCCGAAAUCGAGCAGCUCGUCCCCUCUCCUAAACCGUGAAUCCCCUCAGCUUGUCCCUUUCCUCCAGUUCUACAGAUUGCCUUUCAGUAUACGAUCAUUGUUCCUCAUGAAGAACUUUCGGAGUAGGGAAAGAUUUCUGACAAUAGGCUUGUAAUGCUCAUGGGAUCUACUGUGUGCCCUUGUAUGACACUUUAGGUGCUGGAGCUGUAGAAUUUAUUAUACGUCAUGCAGAGGUUUCGUGAAUGGUGUGAUGAAAAUUUCAUCCCGAAUGCCUCAAACAAAAACAGUCUUCUAUACUUGAUAUACUCAAUCUCAUGAUACAUGUUGAAUUGUAUGUAAAGCCGAAUACUAUGAAGGUUGUAUGUAUGGCUUGGAAAUGUACGGAGGUGCUGUGAAGGAAAAAACUGCAAACAGUUUAUCAUAAUUGGUUAGUUAAUAUGUUGUUAA